rnacentral:rRNA from 1 species
AAUCAACGCUGGCGGCGUGCCUCAGACAUGCAAGUCGAACGCGAAAGCUCCCUUCGGGGAGCAAGUAGAGUGGCGCACGGGUGAGUAACACGUAGGUAAUCUACCUUUGGAUGGGGAAUAACAACCGGAAACGGUUGCUAAUACCGCAUAAUGCAGCGGCACCUAAUGGUGACAGUUGUUAAAGCGGGGGAUCGCAAGACCUCGCGUCUGAAGAGGAGCCUGCGGCAGAUUAGCUAGUUGGUAAGGUAACGGCUUACCAAGGCGAUGAUCUGUAGCCGGCCUGAGAGGGCGGUCGGCCACACUGACACUGACAUACGGGUCAGACUCCUACGGGAGGCAGCAGUCGGGAAUUUUGGGCAAUGGGCGAAAGCCUGACCCAGCAACGCCGCGUGAAGGAUGAAAUCCCUCGGGAUGUAAACUUCGCAAGAACGGGAAGAAUAAGUCGGUGUAAACACCACCGACGAUGACGGUACUGUUUGUAAGCUCCGGCUAACUCCGUGCCAGCA